GUUCAGGGCAUGUUUGUACUAACUUAUCUGGGUAAAGGGAAAGCUGAUCCUUUAAAUUAUAUUUGCUGUGACUCUGGAAACUGAGCAAACAAAGUCUGAGGGAAACUUCACUCUCAAGCAGAACUGACAGAAGGUACGAGGACCGAAGCUCAGGGAUCUUCUGUAGGACACACCUGCCUCAGGAUUCACAACUGAAUUGCAAAUCUCUAACAACCUGGGGAGUUUAGUCCAGACUUGUUGGACAUACCUCAUCCCGAUGGCAAAUGAGAGACUGGUUCAGCCCCAGAUUGUCAGACUACUACUUUGGUCUUCUUGAACUACGGGGAAAUAUGUUUGCCUGCAAAGCACAUUCAGGUUCACUCAAAAACAACGAGCCCAUCAAAGAGCCUCUGAACGUUUUAUCUCAUAAGGGAUCACCAUCUCCAGUAAACUCUGAUAAGACGUUAGACGAACUAUGGAUCCAAAGGGAGCUGAACCAUGGUUACGCUCAUGUCACCAGAGCAUGGCCAUCUAACGAUGGCCAUGAGGAUCAUUUCUAGUGCCUGCCUGCUUGGGGAUCCUAAGAAUUCCAGAGACAAAACUGUGCUUUGGUCUGUCAGGGUGUUGCAUGACUUCUGUCACCAGCAAGAGCACAGGGCACUCAGCACCAUUUGUGUGAUGCUGGGGUAAGAUUUUUAACUAGUUGCUUUAAUGUAUGUUGUUCUAGUAGUCAGAUUCUUUCUUCUCCCCUACAACUAGACAGAGAAUUAUAGGAUGAAAUACAGGGGUUUUGGUCAGAAAACUGAUUUGUCAUGAUGAGAUUCUACUGAUUUUGAUGAUAUGGGGGAAAGCUGUUUAGGCUCUGUAUCAAAUUCAUUGUUGAUAAGUGAGAGAGAAAAGAAAACCUCCUCCAAAC
rnacentral:lncRNA from 1 species